rnacentral:rRNA from 1 species
AGGUGUUGUUGGGUAGGGGAGCGUUCUGUAAGCCUGUGAAGGUGGCCUGUGAGGGUUGCUGGAGGUAUCAGAAGUGCGAAUGCUGACAUAAGUAACGAUAAAGCGGGUGAAAAGCCCGCUCGCCGGAAGACCAAGGGUUCCUGUCCAACGUUAAUCGGGGCAGGGUGAGUCGACCCCUAAGGCGAGGCCGAAAGGCGUAGUCGAUGGGAAACGGGUUAAUAUUCCCGUACUUGGUGUUACUGCGAAGGGGGGACGGAGAAGGCUAUGUUGGCCGGGCGACGGUUGUCCCGGUUUAAGCGUGUAGGUGUGUGUUCCAGGUAAAUCCGGUUCACUUUAACACUGAGGCGUGACGACGAGGCACUACGGUGCUGAAGCAACAAAUGCCCUGCUUCCAGGAAAAGCCUCUAAGCAUCAGGUAACAUCAAAUCGUACCCCAAACCGACACAGGUGGUCAGGUAGAGAAUACCAAGGCGCUUGAGAGAACUCGGGUGAAGGAACUAGGCAAAAUGGUGCCGUAACUUCGGGAGAAGGCACACUGACACGUAGGUGAAGUGAUUUACUCAUGGAGCUGAAGUCAGUCGAAGAUACCAGCUGGCUGCAACUGUUUAUUAAAAACACAGCACUGUGCAAACACGAAAGUGGACGUAUACGGUGUGACGCCUGCCCGGUGCCGGAAGGUUAAUUGAUGGGGUCAGCGCAAGCGAAGCUCCUGAUCGAAGCCCCGGUAAACGGCGGCCGUAACUAUAACGGUCCUAAGGUAGCGAAAUUCCUUGUCGGGUAAGUUCCGACCUGCACGAAUGGCGUAAUGAUGGCCAGGCUGUCUCCACCCGAGACUCAGUGAAAUUGAACUCGCUGUGAAGAUGCAGUGUACCCGCGGCAAGACGGAAAGACCCCGUGAACCUUUACUAUAGCUUGACACUGAACAUUGAGCCUUGAUGUGUAGGAUAGGUGGGAGGCUUUGAAGUGUGGACGCCAGUCUGCAUGGAGCCGACCUUGAAAUACCACCCUUUAAUGUUUGAUGUUCUAACGUGGACCCGUAAUCCGGGUUGCGGACAGUGUCUGGUGGGUAGUUUGACUGGGGCGGUCUCCUCCUAAAGAGUAACGGAGGAGCACGAAGGUUGGCUAAUCCUGGUCGGACAUCAGGAGGUUAGUGCAAUGGCAUAAGCCAGCUUGACUGCGAGCGUGACGGCGCGAGCAGGUGCGAAAGCAGGUCAUAGUGAUCCGGUGGUUCUGAAUGGAAGGGCCAUCGCUCAACGGAUAAAAGGUACUCCGGGGAUAACAGGCUGAUACCGCCCAAGAGUUCAUAUCGACGGCGGUGUUUGGCACCUCGAUGUCGGCUCAUCACAUCCUGGGGCUGAAGUAGGUCCCAAGGGUAUGGCUGUUCGCCAUUUAAAGUGGUACGCGAGCUGGGUUUAGAACGUCGUGAGACAGUUCGGUCCCUAUCUGCCGUGGGCGCUGGAGAACUGAGGGGGGCUGCUCCUAGUACGAGAGGACCGGAGUGGACGCAUCACUGGUGUUCGGGUUGUCAUGCCAAUGGCACUGCCCGGUAGCUAAAUGCGGAAGAGAUAAGUGCUGAAAGCAUCUAAGCACGAAACUUGCCCCGA